AGCAGCCGCGGUAAUUCCAGCUCCAAUAGCGUAUAUUAAAGUUGUUGCAGUUAAAAAGCUCGUAGUUGAAUUUCGGGGUCAGUAGGUUGGUCAUGCCACUGGUAUGUACUGGCCUCACUGAUUCCUCCUUCCUGAUGAGCCGUAAUGCCAUUAAUUUGGUGUUGCGAGGAAUCUGGACUGUUACUUUGAAAAAAUUAGAGUGUUUAAAGCAGGCUAACGCUUGAAUACAUUAGCAUGGAAUAAUGAAAUAGGACGUUCGAUCUUAUUUUGUUGGUUUCUAAGAUUGACGUAAUGAUUAAUAGGGAUAGUUGGGGGCAUUAGUAUUCAAUUGUCAGAGGUGAAAUUCUUGGAUUUAUUGAAGACUAACUACUGCGAAAGCAUUUGUCCAAGGAUGUUUUCAUUAAUCAAGAACGAAAGUUAGGGGAUCGAAGACGAUCAGAUACCGUCGUAGUCUUAACCAUAAACUAUGCCGACUAGGGAUCGGAUGAUGUUAAUUUUUAAUGACUCU
rnacentral:rRNA from 1 species